rnacentral:rRNA from 1 species
UACGGAGGGUGCAAGCGUUAAUCGGAAUUACUGGGCGUAAAGCGCACGUAGGCGGAUACUUAAGUCAGGGGUGAAAUCCCGGGGCUCAACCCCGGAACUGCCUUUGAUACUGGGUAUCUCGAGUCCGGAAGAGGUGAGUGGAAUUCCGAGUGUAGAGGUGAAAUUCGUAGAUAUUCGGAGGAACACCAGUGGCGAAGGCGGCUCACUGGUCCGGUACUGACGCUGAGGUGCGAAAGCGUGGGGAGCAAACAGG